rnacentral:rRNA from 1 species
GACGAACGCUGGCGGCGUGCUUAACACAUGCAAGUCGAACGGAAAGGCCCUGCUUUUGUGGGGUGCUCGAGUGGCGAACGGGUGAGUAACACGUGAGUAACCUGCCCUUGACUUUGGGAUAACUUCAGGAAACUGGGGCUAAUACCGGAUAGGAGCUCCUGCUGCAUGGUGGGGGUUGGAAAGUUUCGGCGGUUGGGGAUGGACUCGCGGCUUAUCAGCUUGUUGGUGGGGUAGUGGCUUACCAAGGCUUUGACGGGUAGCCGGCCUGAGAGGGUGACCGGCCACAUUGGGACUGAGACACGGUCCAGACUCCUACGGGAGGCAGCAGUAGGGAAUCUUCCGCAAUGGGCGAAAGCCUGACGGAGCAACGCCGCGUGAGUGAUGAAGGUCUUCGGAUCGUAAAACUCUGUUAUUAGGGAAGAACAUAUGUGUAAGUAACUGUGCACAUCUUGACGGUACCUAAUCAGAAAGCCACGGCUAACUACGUG